GUUUGGAGACACAAUGGUGAACCUUAAAUUGGUAACAACGUUGUACAUUGUGAUGCUGCUACGCCUUGUGCUGAUACCUGUCGUUCUAAUUGCUUUAAUAGUGAUCAUCUGCUGGAGCGAACAGAAGAAGUUCACCUAGAAGAAUAAGACGGUUGUGGAGGACCUUGAGCUGAGACAAGUUGUCCUUCCAUAUCCAUCAUCAUCUGAUCACUAGCACCUGUGGGCUGGAAAAAAAGGAUCGUACCAAGUUCCUUCUACUCUCUCCUACACUGGAGCAAAGAUCAUCUGCAUGGUGUCAGACACCACUCUACACAAUCUUUGUGCAUUUCCAACUUUUUGUUUCAAUUAUUAACGUUUAGCUUUUUUGCUGGUUGAGUCUUAAGCAGUUAUAUAAUAGCCUUUUAAGACUCUAUUCUGCAACAGCACUAUAACUAAGACCUGCCGUCAUUACCACUUUUUUAUAUUUUUAGAAUUUAGGGGGGCCUAUGCCUUCAUUUAGACAGUUGAUAAAGUAGGAAAUUGGGAGAGAGAGGGAGAGUGGGGAAUGAAAAUGGCAAAGCGUUGAGGGUCAGGAUUGAAGCUUGAAAAGGGGUUAAGAAGUUGCAUGCUCAUGAAUCUUAUCCAUUUCAUUUCAGGCAGUCCUUCGUCAUAUGUUUAUCAGGCAAUUUUAUAGCAAAGAAGAGGGAUAGGAUUUAUCAGAAAGAUUUACAAUCAUUCAAUUUUUAUCAUUCAACCAUUUUCUUAUAGAGCUAUGAAGUUUAUAUACAAACUUAAAAUCGCAAAAUACUAACAAAGAUUAUCUCAGGAGACUUUUCAAAAAGA